UGAGAUGUUUAUACUCAUAGAGCUACAAAG
rnacentral:piRNA from 1 species